rnacentral:misc_RNA from 1 species
UUUCCGUAGGUGAACCUGCGGAAGGAUCAUUAAAGAGAAUAUGCCCUUCGGGGUAGAUCUCCCACCCUUUGUUUAUAUUACUUUGUUGCUUUGGCAGGCCCGUCUUCGGACCACCGGCUUCGGCUGGUCAGUGCUUGCCAGAGGACCCAAAACUCUUAUUAUUAAUGUCGUCUGAGUACUAUAUAAUAGUUAAAACUUUCAACAACGGAUCUCUUGGUUCUG